UCUUGUCAUUGUGUGCCCGCAGCCGCGGUAAUCCGUCGGUGGCGCGCGUUGUCCGGAAUUAUUGGGCGUAAAGAGCAUGUAGGCGGCUUAAUAAGUCGAGCGUGAAAAUGCGGGGCUCAACCCCGUAUGGCGCUGGAAACUGUUAGGCUUGAGUGCAGGAGAGGAAAGGGGAAUUCCCAGUGUAGCGGUGAAAUGCGUAGAUAUUGGGAGGAACACCAGUGGCGAAGGCGCCUUUCUGGACUGUGUCUGACGCUGAGAUGCGAAAGCCAGGGUAGCGAACGGG
rnacentral:rRNA from 1 species